rnacentral:rRNA from 1 species
UCGAGAAUCUUCGGCAAUGGGCGAAAGCCUGACCGAGCGAUGCCGCGUGCGGGAUGAAGGCCUUCGGGUUGUAAACCGCUGUCGUAGGGGAGAAAGGGUCGUUGAAGAAACGACUUUGAUCUAUCCUAGGAGGAAGUCCGGGCUAAGUUCGUGCCAGCAGCCGCGGUAACACGAACCGGACAAACGUUAUUCGGAAUUACUGGGCUUAAAGGGUGCGUAGGCGGUGCGGUAAGUGCGGUGUGAAAUCCCACGGCUCAACCGUGGAAUUGCGCUGCAUACUGCCGUGCUAGAGGGAGACAGGGGUAAGCGGAACUGAUGGUGGAGCGGUGAAAUGCGUUGAUAUCAUCAGGAACACCGGUGGCGAAAGCGGCUUACUGGGUCUCUUCUGACGCUGAGGCACGAAAGCUAGGGUAGCGAACGGGAUUAGAUACCC